UGGCGACCGGCGCACGGGUGAGUAACACGUAUCCAACCUGCCGAUGACUCGGGGAUAGCCUUUCGAAAGAAAGAUUAAUACCCGAUGGCAUAGUUCUUCCGCAUGGUAGAACUAUUAAAGAAUUUCGGUCAUCGAUGGGGAUGCGUUCCAUUAGCUUGUUGGCGGGGUAACGGCCCACCAAGGCAUCGAUGGAUAGGGGUUCUGAGAGGAAGGUCCCCCACACUGGUACUGAGACACGGACCAGACUCCUACGGAAGGCAGCAG
rnacentral:rRNA from 1 species